rfam:Nosema apis BRL 01 unplaced genomic scaffold scf7180000047084, whole genome shotgun sequence.
GGCAGCGUGGCCGAGUGGUUAAGGCGACGGAUUUGAAAUCCGUUAGGCUAGUCCUGCGUUGGUUCGAAUCCAGCCGCUGUCG